GACGGAGGGGGGCUAGCGUUGUUCGGAAUUACUGGGCGUAAAGCGCGCGUAGGCGGCGCAUUAAGUCAGAGGUGAAAGCCCCGGGGGCUCAACCCCCGGAAUUGCCUUUGAGACUGGUGUGCUUGAGUACGGAAGAGGUGAGUGGAAUUCCCAGUGUAGAGGUGAAAUUCGUAGAUAUUGGGAAGAACACCAGUGGCGAAGGCGGCUCACUGGUCCGUAACUGACGCUGAGGUGCGAAAGCGUGGGGGAGCAAAACAGGAUUAGAUACCCCCCGUAGUCC
rnacentral:rRNA from 1 species